AUGGCGGCGGAAGCGUCGAGCUCAUCGGCUUUCAGCGAGGACGAUUCGCUCCUGCGGCCCCUCGCCGCGCGUGGGUGGCGCUUCCGUGACGCCGCGGACGAGUCCAUCCAGGCCCUCCUCCACGCUCCCCCCUCCCCGUCGCCGGAGGCCCUGGAAGCCGACCUCCUCGACACGGACCUGAGGCUCUUCGGCGGGAAGUCCCUCCCCGACCGCGCCGCCGCCACCGCCACGAAGCGGCUCUUCUACCUCCACGGCCCCAUCGUCCUGCAGGUAGUUUCUGUAAGGGAUAUAUAUAGCAGCAGAGUCGAUGCUUCCUUUAAGAACCCACAGCCACGGCGCCUUCUGCGGUUUGGUCUCACUGAUGGUAUUUCUGAAGCAGUGGCCAUUGAGUUUUCCCCUAUCCCGUUCAUCACAGAAGAGAUAGCCCCAGGUACAAAGAUUCGUCUUGAGAACAAGAUUCCAGUAAAUCAUGGCAUAUUGUGCCUGGGUGCAAAAAAUGUGAGCAUCAUCGGGGGAACUGUCCAAUCUUUGUAUGAAGAAUGGAAAAUGAACCAGAAAUUCUCGGGCUUAUCACGCCCAGUAUUGAGGCUGUCACAAGAUGAUGGAGUUGGGCCUCCACCAUUUGAGAAAUUAGAUAUCGAAGCACGUCCAAACAGGACAUUCCAGUUGCAAGCACACCCCGCAGACCAGAAGGCUAGCAACUUUGGAGUCGCUCAUGAGCACGUGUCGAUUAAUUCCAAUUCAAAACCUACGAAUGAGGGUUCAAGUAAUAUGAACAGAGAGAAUACAGCUAGCAAAGCUGAAUCCAAACAGUCUACUGCAGAUAUCAGACCAAAAGAAGUAAGCGAAGCUGUCCCUGUUCAGAACCAAGCUGCUGCACAGAAACUACUGCAGAAAAUGGCUAUCCCCGAAGAUAGGCAUGGUCGGGGUCGAUUCAAGGGCAGGAGCAAGCAGGAAGAGACUCCGGUCUUCACCCUCGAUGAAUGGGAGAGGAGAAAAGCAGGCAGUUCAAUGUCCACAGCAGAAAGGCAUAUACAAGACACCAGUCGAGACGAGGAACUGGCAAGACAGCUCCAAGAACAACUAGAUCUAGAAGAUUCCCAUGCGAUGCCCGUGACCUCAGAGGCCGAACACCUGCGGAUGAACAUGUUCAGCUUCAACGGCCCUGAAGAAAUGGGUGGUGGGAGAAGAGAUUUUCGAGGGCGCGGGCGGGGAAGGGGCCGAGGGCGAGGUCGAAGCAGGGGAAGAUUUUAG
rnacentral:rRNA from 1 species